UUUCUCCUUCGUCUUGAACGCUAUCUUCCCUUCAGGUUUGCUCUCAUCUUUCACAUUUCGUCUUCCUCGAGUUUCCUCUUUCCACUCGAGAGCUCCUCAUUCGCAAGCCAUUUCUCUUCACACAAUCUUCUUCUUCUUUCAUAUUUAGCUUUUCCAUAGCCUUUGCAACCAUAGAACGUUUGUUCUACUGAUUCAUUAGACGAUCUACAUCUCUAGUUAGGGCUCCAACCUCUUUUCACCAUUUUCUUCAUUUUCAACCGAUUAAAUCCUCUUUUCUAUCGAUUAAAAGCCUUUCUACCGAUUGAUUCUUCGAUUAGCAUCAUUUACACCGAUUAAUCGAUCCAUUUUAGGUUUCCUUCAUCAACCUAGGGUUUUAGGGUUCUUCGCGUCGAAUCCUCUCCGUUUUUGGAGUAUUCCUGGAUUCUCAGGGUUUGUUUUCGUUCUCCAUUGAUUCGGCUCUUAGUCUCGAGUUCUCUUCCCAAUUUACAUCAUUCCGCUGCGUUUCUUCACCGGAGGAGCCUCAUUACAGUUUAAAUCGCGCCUUCAGGCCUUCAUACAAUGAUAUUUAUAUUACCGAUGUUGCGUUUAGGGAAGAUUCAGAGGGCUUUUAAGGAUGGGAAGACCUUACCCAAUGGACCUGUUAUUUCUCCUGACAGAUUUUAUUGAGAAGCUUCAUUGGACGCCUUGUACCCCAUUCAGAAUGUGCUGCCAUCUUUUGUGGGUUAUAGGUCUACAAUCAUUAUGUCUCAAUUUUAAAAUUUAGCUAGAGAAAAUCCAGUAACAGACCAAUUUUAAUAGUACUUUUCUCUUUUCAGGAGUGUAAUUGAGAUGCUUGAAGUGAAAAUUAGAAUUUGUGUGCAAUUUCAACACUGUAUUGGAAGAGAUAUCAUUAUCCAAACAAAAUCUUUCCACGCCUCUUGAUUGUAUGAAAAAUCGUAAAUUUGAUAUUGUAAGUGUUCAAUAAUUCAUUAAUAGGUUUGAGUAUAUUUUGUUAAGUUGUUUAUGUAAUAUAUCUAUUUUAAAUGUAAAAUGUUUGGUAUGGUGUUGAAUGAAUACUAUUGUGAUGGAUAGUUGUGUUUAUAUAUAUUACAGGUUUGUAUUGUGGUAUAUGCAGUUGGCAACUAUACACAUUUCCAGAUAUUGUUUUCAAGUUGAUGUUAACUGGCUCUAGUUUCUGGGAAAGUAUUAUUUUCUAUUUUUAAUCAUGUUGA